CCUACGGGAGGCAGCAGUGGGGAAUUUUGGACAAUGGGGGCAACCCUGAUCCAGCCAUGCCGCGUGAGUGAAGAAGGCCUUCGGGUUGUAAAGCUCUUUCGGCCGGGAAGAAAUCGCAUGGGUUAAUACCCUGUGUGGAUGACGGUACCGGCAUAAGAAGCACCGGCUAACUACGUGCCAGCAGCCGCGGUAAUACGUAGGGUGCGAGCGUUAAUCGGAAUUACUGGGCGUAAAGCGUGCGCAGGCGGUUUGGUAAGACAGGCGUGAAAUCCCCGGGCUCAACCUGGGAACUGCGCUUGUGACUGCCUCACUAGAGUACGGCAGAGGGGGGUGGAAUUCCACGUGUAGCAGUGAAAUGCGUAGAGAUGUGGAGGAACACCGAUGGCGAAGGCAGCCCCCUGGGCCGAUACUGACGCUCAUGCACGAAAGCGUGGGUAGCAAACAGGAUUAGAUACCCUGGUAGUCCACGCCCUAAACGAUGUCAACUAGGUGUUGGGUGGGUAAAACCAUUUAGUACCGGAGCUAACGCGUGAAGUUGACCGCCUGGGGAGUACGGCCGCAAGGUUAAAACUCAAAGGAAUUGACGG
rnacentral:rRNA from 1 species